UUUUUUUUUUUUUUUUAAAGAUUUUAUUUAUUUAUUCACAGACACAGAGAGAGAGAGGCAGAGACACAGGCAGAGGGAGAAGUAGGCUCCAUGCAGGGAACCUGAUGUGGGACUCCAUCCCGGGUCUCCAGGAUCACACCCCAGGCUGUAGGCGGCGCCAAACCACUGCGCCACUGGGGCUGCCCUCAUUUACUCUUUCUUGAUGCAAUUUAUCUCUUUAAAAUUUCAGAUUUCCUUUAUCAAGAGCUUCAUUUUGAAAUGGAUCUAACCUUGAGUACCUCCUCAUCACUUUCCUAUAUUAGUCAGUCUGACUUCAGAGAGGCACAUUUACAGGAGGUAAGAAGGUGAUGUUGGAUAAAAUGGAUUUCUGAAGGGAAAAAUAAUUAAUAUUGAGUUCUGCCUUUUACUAUACAGAAAAUUAAUUUGUAAUUAACAAUCAAACUAAAAGUAAAAGCAAAA
rnacentral:lncRNA from 1 species